UCCUUAGUGGGUAAAGCAAGUUCUGUGCUCAACUACCACAGGUCACAGCAGGGUUCAUAUGACUUACUGUGGCCAAUAGAAUUCAUUCAGGGAUCUGUCAGUUGUGGCAUGCAGCAGCAGUGCCUCUUUUUCAGUUCAUAUAAGGUAAAAGAAAAGAGUUUUCCAAGGAAGCAGUACAGAAGAGUAUUCAAAAGACCCACAUAAUUUAUAAAAUUCCAGAGAUGUAGCUCUGAUCCUCAGUGACUGUAUUUAUAUUGAGGAAGAAAAAAUUGAGGCUCUGUCCAUUUCCAACAGGUGUGACUCAACAGUCGAGGAGUGACAAUAGAGGUGUGCCCAACCACAGUCGUGCAUUAUUGAGCAAGGAACUGGGACUAAGAGGACAGCCAAUGUACAUCACCAGGUCAAAAGGUCAACAAGUUUGAAACUCUGGGAACAAAGAUCCAACUAAUAGCUAACUUCAUUUUUCCACGAUCUGCCUUCAACCUCUUAAACCCUAAGCACUUGUCUAUUUUUGAACAGGAAACGGUUUUGAAUAUAACACAUAACAGAUUGCA